GCCGAGAUAGCUCAGCUGGGAGAGCAACAGACUGAAGUUCUGGAGGUCGGGUGUUCGAUCCACCCUCUUGGCA
rfam:Phlebiopsis gigantea 11061_1 CR5-6 unplaced genomic scaffold PHLGIscaffold_59, whole genome shotgun sequence.